CUGUCAAUGCCCUAACCGUUACCUACGCCCGCCGCCAGCGCCGUCACCGGCGUCCCGCUGCUUCCGCCGCGUGCUCUCGCCACUGACUCCGCCCAAAUCAAUCUCCCUGUGCCCUCGUCGUCGGCUCCCCUCUCCUCACGAAUUCGUCCGCCGCCUGCGCCGGUCUCCAUCUCGCGAGCAGCGUUGCCGUCGUCCUGCGGCCUCAUCCUCCGCUUUUUCCCCAAAAAUAAUUUGGGGGAGUACGCGGAGAUGGCCGGCGCGGGUGACGCCGCGAAGGAGUACGCCGCCGGAUGCGCUGCCGGGAUCGCCCAGGUGGCGGUCGGCCACCCUUUCGACACCGUCAAGGUCAAAUUGCAAGCUCACAACACCACAGCUCAUGGAAAGGUAUACAGGAACGCUUUCCACUGUACUAGAAGGACACUGGUUGAAGAAGGUAUUAGAGGACUUUAUAAAGGUGGAUCAUCUUCAUUUAUUGGUAUAGCACUUGAAAGCUCCCUUUUCUUUGGUACAUAUUCACAAGCCAAGCAAUUACUAAAGGGAAAAUCUGAGGAUUCUAGGCCACAACUACAGGUAAUAAUACCUUCUGCUGCCUGUAGUGGAGCCUUGAUCAGUUGCAUUCUCACUCCAACUGAACUAACAAAGUGCAGAAUGCAAGUUCAAGGGAAGGAUGCAAUGCAUGCUGCUAGGUACUCCAGUCCUCUAGAUUGUGCUGUAAAGACACUUCAAAGUGAAGGAGUUUGUGGUCUAUUUCGUGGUGGUUUGGCUACAUUGUUUAGAGAGGCAGUUGGCAAUGCUGUCUUCUUUUGCACUUAUGAAUACAGCCGGUAUUGGAUGCACAAUUUUCUAGAUUCACCCUGGUUUUCAAGUGGCAAUCACUUAGUUCUGGCAAAAGAUGUUGGCAUAGGAAUCAUGAGUGGUGGCAUGAGUGGGAUGGCGUUCUGGACAGCUACUCUACCACUUGAUGUUGCAAAAACCAUUAUCCAGACUGAUCCUGACCCUCAUUUGAGUCGAAACCCCUUUCAAAUUUUAAGCAUGGUUUACAGAAGAGCUGGAAUGGGUGGCUGUUAUGCUGGCCUGGGUCCGACUCUAGCAAGAGCAUUUCCUGCCAAUGCAGCAGCAAUUGUUGCUUGGGAAUACAGUGCUAAGAUUCUUGGUAUAAGGCGUGACUAGCAUAAGCGUCGCCUACGCCGACCAGCGCCGCCUGCGCCGAUGCUCUCCUUCACUCUGGCUGCCAUGCCCCACUCCGGCGACCUCUCUAGCAGCUGCCACAACCCUCACCAGUAUCUCCAGGGAUGGUCGCAUGGAAUUUGCUGAUGGAUGCCCUUGCGGUUGAAGGAGCUGCUCCAUGCCGAGGCGUGCAAUGGAGUGGGGACUGCCCAGGAGCUGCUGCAUGCCCAGGCAGAUAUCAGCAAUUGAGUGGAACGAGUACUGCUUUCAGGAUGCUGAAAUUCCUUUGUGCGAAGCUGGGCCUUGCAUUGGCCGAGUGUAUUGGUCCUCCGUAAACAAAAGUUAUAUUUUAUGGGGCUAUAGCACAUAGGACAUUUAAAUUUCUAGGUGGUUGUGACAACCUAUGACACGAGAAUUUGAUGAUAGUCAUGUUAAAUGUGUGAUACAUGCAAGAUAUUUUUAUCCAUGGCUAUGUUGAGCAAUUUUUGCUGUCAUGUUAUAAGCUGAUCUUAUGCCAUUUAC